AGUAAAGGAAGCACAAGUCCAGGGGCCAGUUCACUCUUCUACCUGAAGCAGAGACAGCACCAGGAAUUCAAGGUCUCCUUGGGAGUCUCAUGUCCUUGCCAAGCCUUCGCCAGGCUCUCGCCACUGCCGUUCCUCUACCAGCCCAAGUCUACAUUCUGAGGCUCUAGGAACACGAGAGAGAACUCCAGUGCUCACAUCCCAUAUUGACCCUCUUUAUGUUCUUCAAUUACCACCUACCUGAAAAAGCCUCAAAGUCUCAGGGGAACAUUCUGGAGUCCCUGCUGCUGAAGAGGGUUUUUUGAGUUUUGGUCGUCUUCCAAAGUUUACUGUAUGAAGUCUUAGUGCUUCACUGGAGUUUGUCAUAUGUCUGGAUAAUAAAUAAGUUUCAAAAAUGUAACUAA
ensembl:lncRNA novel transcript